AACAAAACUUUUCAAUCUCCAUUAUCAGCCACAGCAGGGCUCCAUUUCAUUCGGAAUUAUCGAUCAGAGCCCGAGAGCCAGCAACGCUUUGCAAACAAUAUUAGAGAUUCAAUGAACCUUCUCUAACUCAAAGCGAACAUAUGGAACUUAGGUCCGUUGGCACCAUCGUAACCAGUCUUCCUCCACCACCAGUCGCACAGUCUCCGGUAUUCCAUUAACCCAGGCUCCACACACUUUCUGAUUCCGACCUUCCACUGCCAAAAUAUGGGCUACAGCGUUAAGCGGACGGUUCACAAACUUGGAGUCCCCUUCCACAAUCAACCGUCGAAAGCC